rnacentral:rRNA from 1 species
AGCGAACGCUGGCGGCAGGCUUAACACAUGCAAGUCGAACGCCCGUAGCAAUACGGGAGUGGCAGACGGGUGAGUAACGCGUGGGAACAUGCCCUUUGGUUCGGAAUAACUCAGGGAAACUUGAGCUAAUACCGGAUAAGCCCGAGAGGGGAAAGAUUUAUCGCCGAAGGAUUGGCCCGCGUCCGAUUAGCUAGUUGGUGAGGUAAUGGCUCGCCAAGGCGACGAUCGGUAGCUGGUCUGAGAGGAUGAUCAGCCACACUGGGACUGAGACACGGCCCAGACUCCUACGGGAGGCAGCAGUGGGGAAUAUUGGACAAUGGGGGCAACCCUGAUCCAGCCAUGCCGCGUGAGUGAUGAAGGCCCUAGGGUUGUAAAGCUCUUUCGGCGGGGACGAUAAUGACGGUACCCGCAGAAGAAGCCCCGGCUAACUUCGUGCCAGCAGCCGCCGUAAAAC